rnacentral:rRNA from 1 species
GGGUAACCUGCCUGUAAGACUGGGAUAAACUCCCGGGAAACCGGGGCUAAUACCCGGAUGGUUGUUUGAUCCGCAUGGUUCAAACAUAAAAGGUGGCUUCGGCUACCACUUACAGAUGGACCCGCGGCGCAUUAGCUAGUUGGUGAGGUAACGGCUCACCAAGGCAACGAUGCGUAGCCGACCUGAGAGGGUGAUCGGCCACACUGGGACUGAGACACGGCCCAGACUCCUACGGGAGGCAGCAGUAGGGAAUCUUCCGCAAUGGACGAAAGUCUGACGGAGCAACGCCGCGUGAGUGAUGAAGGUUUUCGGAUCGUAAAGCUCUGUUGUUAGGGAAGAACAAGUACCGUUCGAAUAGGGCGGUACCUUGACGGUACCUAACCAGAAAGCCACGGCUAACUACGUGCCAGCAGCCGCGGUAAUACGUAGGUGGCAAGCGUUGUCCGGAAUUAUUGGGCGUAAAGGGCUCGCAGGCGGUUUCUUAAGUCUGAUGUGAAAGCCCCCGGCUCAACCGGGGAGGGUCAUUGGAAACUGGGGAACUUGAGUGCAGAAGAGGAGAGUGGAAUUCCACGUGUAGCGGUGAAAUGCGUAGAGAUGUGGAGGAACACCAGUGGCGAAGGCGACUCUCUGGUCUGUAACUGACGCUGAGGAGCGAAAGCGUGGGGAGCGAACAGGAUUAGAUACCCUGGUAGUCCACGCCGUAAACGAUGAGUGCUAAGUGUUAGGGGGUUUCCGCCCCUUAGUGCUGCAGCUAACGCAUUAAGC